rnacentral:rRNA from 1 species
CCUACGGGAGGCAGCAGUGGGGAAUAUUGCACAAUGGGGGAAACCCUGAUGCAGCGACGCCGCGUGAGUGAAGAAGUAUUUCGGUAUGUAAAGCUCUAUCAGCAGGGAAGAUAAUGACGGUACCUGACUAAGAAGCCCCGGCUAACUACGUGCCAGCAGCCGCGGUAAUACGUAGGGGGCAAGCGUUAUCCGGAUUUACUGGGUGUAAAGGGAGCGUAGGUGGCAGGGCAAGUCAGAUGUGAAAACCCGGGGCUCAACCCCGGGAGUGCAUUUGAAACUGUCCAGCUGGAGUGCAGGAGAGGUAAGCGGAAUGUAUGGUGUAGCGGUGAAAUGCAUAGAGAUCAUACAGAACACCGAUUGCGAAGGCAGCUUACCAAACUACGACUGACGUUGAGGCACGAAAGCGUGGGGAGCAAACAGGAUUAGAUACCCGGGUAGUC